UGGGGAAUAUUGCACAAUGGGCGAAAGCCUGAUGCAGCGACGCCGCGUGAGGGAUGACGGCCUUCGGGUUGUAAACCUCUUUCAGCAGGGAAGAAGCGAAAGUGACGGUACCUGCAGAAGAAGCGCCGGCUAACUACGUGCCAGCAGCCGCGGUAAUACGUAGGGCGCAAGCGUUGUCCGGAAUUAUUGGGCGUAAAGAGCUCGUAGGCGGUUAGUCGCGUCUGCUGUGAAAACUCGAGGCUCAACCUCGGGCUUGCAGUGGGUACGGGCUGACUAGAGUGCGGUAGGGGGUGACUGGAAUUCCUGGUGUAGCGGUGGAAUGCGCAGAUAUCAGGAGGAACACCGAUGGCGAAGGCAGGUCACUGGGCCGCAACUGACGCUGAGGAGCGAAAGCAUGGGGAGCGAACAGGAUUAGAUACCCUGGUAGUCCAUGCCGUAAACGUUGGGCACUAGGUGUGGGUCCAUUCCACGGAUUCCGUGCCGCAGCAAACGCAUUAAGUGCCCCGCCUGGGGAGUACGGCCGCAAGGCUAAAACUCAAAGGAAUUGACGGGGUCAUAGCUGUUUCC
rnacentral:rRNA from 1 species